rnacentral:SRP_RNA from 1 species
GCUGGCACAGUGGCAUGCGCCUGUGGUCCCAGGUACUCGGGAGGCCAAGGCCAGAGGAUCACUUGAGCUCAUGAGUUCUGAGCACUAUCCUGAUUAGGUGUCUACACUAAGUUUGGCAGCAAUAUGGUGACCUCCCAGGAGCAGGGGACCACCAUGUUGCCUGAAGGGAGUGAACUAGCCCAGGUCAGAAAUGGAGCAAAUUCCCGCCCUGAUCAGUAGUGGAAUUGUGCCUGAGAACAGCCGCCAUACUCCAGCCUGGGCAACAGAGUGAGACCCUGUCUCU